UACGGAGGGUGCAAGCGUUAAUCGGAAUUACUGGGCGUAAAGCGUGCGUAGGUGGUUCGUUAAGUCCGUUGUGAAAGCCCCGAGCUCAACUUGGGGAAUUGCAGUGGAUACUGGCGAGCUGGAGUGCGGUAGAGGAAGGUGGAAUUCCACGUGUAGCGGUGAAAUGCGUAGAGAUGUGGAGGAACACCAGUGGCGAAGGCGACUUUCUGGGCUGUAACUGACGCUGGAGGCGCGAAAGCGUGGGGGAGCAAACAGG
rnacentral:rRNA from 1 species